UUUACUGGUGCAGGAUGAGCCCGCGGCCUAUCAGCUUGUUGGUGGGGUAAUGGCCUACCAAGGCGACGACGGGUAGCCGGCCUGAGAGGGCGACCGGCCACACUGGGACUGAGACACGGCCCAGACUCCUACGGGAGGCAGCAGUGGGGAAUAUUGCACAAUGGGCGAAAGCCUGAUGCAGCGACGCCGCGUGAGGGAUGACGGCCUUCGGGUUGUAAACCUCUUUCAGCAGGGACGAAGCGCAAGUGACUGUACCUGCAGAAGAAGCACCGGCUAACUACGUGCCAGCAGCCGCGGUAAUACGUAGGGUGCGAGCGUUGUCCGGAAUUACUGGGCGUAAAGAGUUCGUAGGCGGUUUGUCGCGUCGUGUGUGAAAUCCCGCAGCUCAACUGCGGGCUUGCAGGCGAUACGGGCAGACUUGAGUACUGCAGGGGAGACUGGAAUUCCUGGUGUAGCGGUGAAAUGCGCAGAUAUCAGGAGGAACACCGGUGGCGAAGGCGGGUCUCUGGGCAGUAACUGACGCUGAGGAACGAAAGCGUGGGUAGCGAACAGGAUUAGAUACCCUGGUAGUCCACGCCGUAAACGGUGGGCGCUAGGUGUGGGUUUCCUUCCACGGGAUCCGUGCCGUAGCUAACGCAUU
rnacentral:rRNA from 1 species